rnacentral:rRNA from 1 species
UACAGAGGGUGCGAGCGUUAAUCGGAAUUACUGGGCGUAAAGCGUGCGUAGACGGUUAUGUAAGUCAGGUGUGAAAGCCCCGGGCUCAACCUGGGAAUUGCAUUUGAGACUGCAUAGCUAGGGUGCGGAAGAGGGAAGCGGAAUUUCCGGUGUAGCGGUGGAAUGCGCAGAUAUCAGGAGGAACACCGGUGGCGAAGGCGGGAUCCUGGGCCAGUACUGACGCUGAGGAGCGAAAGCGUGGGGAGCAAACAGG